rfam:Candidatus Staskawiczbacteria bacterium RIFCSPLOWO2_01_FTLL_37_25b rifcsplowo2_01_scaffold_77441, whole genome shotgun sequence.
GUCCGUGUAGCUCAACUGGAUAGAGCGUCAGACUCCGAAUCUGAAGGUUAGGGGUUCGACUCCCCUCACGGAUA